rnacentral:sRNA from 16 species
GCACUGGCAGAACUUUGACACCGCUUUAGUUCUUUGUGGUGGUUUGAAGUCAAGCGAUGCCGUAACUACCAACAGUGC